UUCUUAUCCAGAGAGGUGGAGGGACUGGCCCGAUGAAGCCCGGCAACCCGUUCUUUCCCGGUGUAAUGCACCGGGAGGGAACAUAUGGUGCUAAUUCCUACAAAACCGCUAGAGUUAUAGCGAUUUUGGCAGAUGAGAA
rfam:Paenibacillus polymyxa SC2, complete genome.